rnacentral:antisense_RNA from 1 species
CUGAGAAAUGAACGAAUACGUCUUCUCCGGCUUCACGUUCGAUAAAUCCGAAACCUUUUUCUGCAUUAAACCAUUUUACUUUACCAUUUUCCAUUUUUGUUGCCUCCUAGUGCGUCGUACACACAAUUAAAUUUUAUUCUUGCUCUAAAUGAUAUCCAGGCGAAAA